CUACUAUAUAAGCACGUGGUAUAUUUGAUUAAUCCUCAGUGAAAUCAAAGGUUUUUCGGCUGUUUUCGAGUUGCUAAUAUACUUUUUCAAGGAUGUUGCCCAAGAGUUAUUUAAUGUUCCUGCUCGUUGCUUUUCUGAUUGUGAACCAAUUGUCAACAAGCUCUGGUUAUCCUCUUGAUCGAAAAAUAGGUGGUAAUAGUACCGCGACACCUACCGCAAAUGUUGCAGAAAAGUCAACAGAUGUCUCUGAACCCCGUCUAACAUCUAUCCCUGAAAAGCAUGCACAACAGUUAAAUGAUGAAUAUGUAUUCGGUCGCUCUCAUACCACUAAAGCUGUCUCAAAUGAUCCAGUUAUGUAAAGUAAUAGAAAUAAGAAAAAAGUUAAUUUUCAAAUACUAAAAUUAUAAACAAAUAUAUAU